UGAACAAUUCUUAAACAGUGAUCAUACAAUAACAUCAAAAUAUAAAUAAAUCAACAUUUCUAUACUGACAUCAUCAAAUGAUAAUACAAUCGAAUAUGAAUCAAAUCAUAUCAAAAUACCGGACGGGCUCUCACUGUAUGAUUGUGAACUCGUUAGAAGUUGUUGCUUUAUGGAAAAUAUCAAUCAUUGUGUUAAUAAAAGAACUGGUGUGUACAUCUUUUGUAUAAAAAAAAGAAAGUAUUGGGCUAUGUUUGACAAAGCAUGUGAUUUUACUUAUUUUUGAAAUGUUCAUGUUCUGUCUAUGAGUAUUUUUUUUUGGGUAAAAAGCAUACAUUUGUUCGUGUUAAUUGACAACUAUAACGUAAUAUGUUAACACCGUUGUGGUUUAAAUGUUGUAUAUCUAUGUUUGUUUUGUAUUGAUCACUUGAUGUAUCCCUUCCUUACUUUGUAUUUAUAGAUUAUCGUUGCUCAUCUCAACGAGAUUGAUAUUCUCGCUUGAGCCGGGACGGCGAAAUCGAAAAAGUCAAUCGAGUUGAGAUGAUCAAUGAUAAUCUGUUUAUCGCUAUUUUACCUAUGACAACGUUGUCAAUUUCCUGUCAAUUUCGUUAGCAACGCCACGUGCCUGCUUAGUUUCUAGCAAUAAUUUUCCAUCUCAAGCGAGGAGCAUGAUAUGAAAAUUAUCACAAAAAAAGAUCAAAGGAAAAAUGCACAAAAUAGCGAUAAAUAAUAUUACUGAAUAAAUUAUCAAAUGUUUGCGUAUUGUUUAUUAUGUACUUUCUGUUCUUUAUGUAGUUCAUUUCAUUGAUUGAAAAUUAAGAAGACUCCGUCCCUAUUUUGAUAUGAUCCGCUGAACCCAAAAAGGUUCGUUUACUCAUCACGGGAAUACUAAUAUCAUUUUAAUAAUUCAUACUCCUACACACACGUACCGAUUCAAAAGAACACAAAGCGUAAUUAACCGGGGAGUAUUUCUGUAACAUUAACCUUGUUGGUAAGUUAUAGGGAUAUUAAACAUUUACAUCAAAUCAUCUUGAAGUAAAAUAAACAGUGUGAGAGAAAAUCUGGCAAGGGCAGAUUUUACUAUUUCAUAAUAAGGGUAAACUAACUUACAGUAAUUAGCAUACAAAACAAGAAAAUCUUUCCCGAAACAUUCAUUUCCUUUAAAUUAAAAAAAAUUAUAACACAUACAUACAAUACCCAGCCAGCAUUUCUUUAUACUCUGAUACAUCAAUAACAAAAAUAUCACUAUAUAAAAUUUCAUCAGAUCACAGUCAUUCCUACCUCUAUAAACAAUUUCUGUGGUAAAGUUAGUGCUAGACAGAACUAACUGAGUUAUAUUUUAGCAAAUGAAAACAUACAUUCGAGGGACAACAACUUCUCUUAACUAUGAUUGUUGGCAAGACAAUUAAAUAACUCUAUCUUCAUGCUACAAGUAUUUAUAAUAAUUAAUUAAUUAUUUAGGCAUAGACAAUAAAUAAUCUAAUCUUUCAACAUAAAUAAGAAAAAUAAAGUCAUCUUAUGAAAAAUAAAAAUACAACAUUAUCAUAUAUAUAAUAUAUAGUUUCUCAU
rnacentral:lncRNA from 1 species